UACAGAGGGUGCAAGCGUUGUUCGGAAUCACUGGGCGUAAAGCGCGCGCAGGCGGAUGGUUGCGUCCGGAGUGAAAUUUCGCCGCUCAACGGCGAAGCUGCUUUAGAUACGGACCGUCUAGGGACCGGUAGAGGCUGGUAGAAUUGCAGGUGUAGCGGUGGAAUGCGUAGAGAUCUGCAAGAAUACCCGUGGCGAAGGCGGCCAGCUGGGCCGGAUCCGACGCUGAGGCGCGAAAGCGUGGGGAGCAAACAGG
rnacentral:rRNA from 1 species